ensembl:lncRNA
CGAAACCGGGCGGAAACACUUUAGGCAUUUUGUUCUCCCUAGACUCAACGUUACUGGCUGUGAAUGGCUGUGUACAAAUGUAAGUUUAUGAAGAUAUGAAUUUAGAGGUAGAUGCGUAGACUAUAUGGAUACUUUCAAGUCAGCAGUACAAAAAAUAUAAAGUAACAAAACUUUUUCCUGUUUCCGCCCGGUCUCGAACCGGGGACCUUUCGCGUGUUAGGCGAACGUGAUAACCACUACACUACGGAAACUCAGUGACUGACCCAUAGAAUAAUAGCUACACAUCAUUACGACAAAUAACGGAUACAGUUGUAAGAUUGACUAAUUAUUUGACUAUGCCCGUAUUAUUUCGUUUUGUAUUUCACCUAUCUAUUCCAUUGAACAUCAUUAAUUUACAACAGAUAGUGGAUUACUGUAUAGAUUGGAUAGACCUGACAUGUAGUCGUCGAAGAAGUCGGAGGUGACAGACAGCGGAGCGUCGAAAGGAGACCACAAACACGUUUUCGGAGAUAGAUGACAAUUAUUUUCAUCCGUCAAUAAGUUAACUUUUCAAUUGGGGAUUAGUAUUGUCUCAGUUAAGAGCUGGAAAACUGGGUUUACGUGGGUUAAACCCACUACACUCAUGACAAAUGCUCAGAGUACCUGCUGCAGUUCGGAAAGUACCAGGGAAAAUCUUUCAAGUGGUUCCUAGAGAACGAGGUUGGCUACACCAUGUACCUUAUGAAAAAGGUAGAUGAGGAGGAGAGGGCCGGGACCUUCAACCCACAGGGACACAGUAAGGACAGCCUGCUGUCUUCUCUGGACUAUGCCAGGAGCUUCCAGGAAAUCCAGGACCUGAGGAACUACCUGAUCUCCAGGAAGCCUACUGAACCAGUGGCGUAAGAGCGGGACGAUAUUGUCGGCUUUGGUUGCAGGGCCAAAAAUGAAGUUCCAGCAGUCUGACUUUUUUGAGGCAGAAAGGGGCCGAUGGGUUUCAGAAAAGAGGAGUUGAGG